UGAACAGAGAAGUAUGGAUCAUCCAAAAAAAGAGUAAAAUUGGCAUUAAAAGAGAUGAUGACAUGCUCCAAUAAGUUUUAGGAUAAAUACAUAUAUACAUGCAUAUAUAUGUGCAUGUGUUCAUGAGGAAGUCAUUAAGAAAUCUUUUCAAAAUUCCAAGUGUUGUAAAUAAAGCCUGGAACAACCUACUGGCAGGACUUAUUAACUCCAUCAACAUGUUUUAUACAGAGAAAAAUGUCCAAGUUCACAAUAAAAUAAAAUAUUAAUUGGAGUCAAUAGAAAAAUAUCCAAAAAAAAAAGUGAAAUACUUCAAUAUGCUAUUAUAGGUUCUGUUCUGAAUAUCUUCGAUUUCUUUUUCUUCAUGAGUGCUUUCAGUGUUAUAAAAAGUGAUUAAAUCAGCUGCUGCAUAUGUAAAAUAUUGGCGGUUUUCAACCCAAAAUGAAAAGAAGCAUGCUGUAUGUUUGUAUGUGCUCCUAUUUGUCCCCAGAGAAACUUGUUUACCAAAAUCUGAAAGGCUGGCAAAUGGUUUGGUACAGCUGUGAAUUGAUUUUGGGCGUUUGGGAAUGAGAUCAGGAACAAACUGAAUGUAUCCGAAUGGCAGAGUUUUACUUGGACAGUUUUCACUAUAUGUUACUGUGAAUUUUGCUAGGCGAACAAAAUCAUGUUCUGAUUGUGUUGCACCAUGCGACUUAAACCUUUUGUAUUCAUACAUUCAGCAUGUCAUUUCCAGAUGGAUUCUGGACUUUUGGAGUUCACUGUUUUAACAAAUAAAAUUCAGGAAUUUUUAUAAACUCUUUUUCUCACUGUCUGAGCCCACAGAAACAGCAUAUAAUAAUGCCAUAUCGGUGUUGAAUAAUGUCAGGGAAUAAUCACUAUAAGUAUUGCAUCAAAUGUUAUGAUGCUUGACUGUCUCAGUGCAUAAAGGAAGCAACAAAUAUUGAGUAUGUAUUUGUAAGCUUUGAAAAUUUUCUUCUUAUCGUGGAAAAAUUGUUCUCCUUAUGUUCUCUGUGCUGAACGUUUACUUAAUUCAACUUAGGUUUCCUAGCAGAAAAUGUAUUGGCUGUCUAUGCAUGUUCUGGGCACCUGAGAGCAAUAUGACUUGAUCCUUUAUGAGACCUAAUUAAUGUCCUUUUAGGCAAAGUACUACUUUCCGAAGUAGUAAUUUUACAGCUAGCUUUAUUUUUGUUUUAUUUUCAAAACAAUGGUCGCAAACUCCUAGGGGCCUUAUUAAAAUUAGUAUUUUAUAUUUAAUGUAACAUUUAAUUUUAUUUGAUUUUAGAUAUUGGUGAUUAGGUGUGUGAAAUCUGUACAUUUCUCUUACCGGGUGUAUGGGAAUUGUUGAGUCACAGCCUGAACCACUGAUUGAUCACCUGAGGCAAGGACUCAGUCAGCCUUCGGAGUGCAGGUGAAGGCAAUUCAUGUGUGUGACCAGAAGGAGGCUUCACCUCUCGUAGACCCCAUUUAAGGUCUGACUGCCGCUGGAGAAGGAUCUCUUACUUGAGAUCGUUCCUUUGUGGAGUCUUUCCUGCAAACCUAGAUCUUCGGAUAUAGACUAUCAAGACUUCAGUGAGGCCUUGGACAUGGUGCCCUACAACAUCCUUCUCUCCAAAUUAGAAAGAUAUGGAUUUGAUGGGCGGACAGUUUGAUGGACAAGGAACUGAUUGCAAUAUUAUACCCAGAGAGUGAUGGUCAAUGGCUCAAUAUCUGGAUGGAGGUCAAUGACACAUGGUGCCUCUCUGGGGCAUCUUGGGAAAAUGCCGCUACAUUUACUAUGGAAAACAUUCUGAAGGCAACAGAUUCAUCCGAGACGACCAGCUAUAAAACACUGCACUCUUUCGUGCCACUUCAGUCACUCCACACAAGAAGCACAAAUAGAAUCUAAAUUUUAAGCAUGUAACUAAAGUCCUCUAGUGCCUUCUGCUGACUUUGCCAGGCCUGUCAAGAUCAUCCUUCCAUCUCAGUCUGAGUAGUCACAUAGAGAUUGACAUGAUUGCCUUUAAGCAGGUCCCAUCCACCAGCGUGACAGACAGCUGUGGCAGAGCACCCGGCCUGACAGGAGGAGCAUGCUGAUGGAUUGCCUGGUCCAGCUGCUGCACGCAGGAGAGCUGGGGUCACACCUGGGCCUUCACUGAGCAUGCUCUGUUGGCUGGCACCGCACAAAAGCAGCGUGUUUAUCUCCUGCUCGCCUGUUGAGGGAGAGUGGCUGGUGAUAUCAAAGUGUUUAUAAAAGAGAAGGGCUAUAAUUUCAGAUGAAAAACCCCUUAUCUGUUCUAAGUUUUUUUUUUUUUCUUGUGAAUUAAGUGCUUUUGUUUCUGUCAUCUCCUAUAUGCUCACACACAUGCUCUUCAUAGGGUGUUCUUGGUUUUUCCACAAAUGAGCCUGUAUGAAUUAUUCUUUCUUUCAACAGGAAAAGAUGUAUCCAGAAAAUAUUUCAUCAAUUUUUGCUUAUAAGCAAAGGAAAAAAGGUUUGAACAGUUUUACAGGCAAACAAAAUUUUCUAAUUGUUAAAUAACAUCUCACAUUAAUUUACCUUGAUCUUCAGAAGAGGGGUCAUUUUUAAUACUGUGUUAGUAACAUAGGUUCUCUGUGAAGUUGGAAAGGCACUCAGUUAUGACAUUGAUAGUGUAUAUUAUUCCUGGUUUAUUACACAAUAUAUAUUUUACUUGUGUAGAGUACAUUUAGAAUUAAACACUUAAAUUUGGAAGGGAAAAAGGGCUUAAAAAGAGGGAUGUAAAAUAAAAUUGCCACCAGAUAGGUAUGAUUACUCAGGAGGGAAAAAUGUCAAUAAAAGUGACUGACGGAAUUAACAUAAUUAACAGCUUUACUAAUAUGUUCUGGAGGAAAGUUCUGUUUAAUCCCAUUUGAAGCCUACAUAAGAAAGGCUACUCUGAAGUUUUCAGUGAAAAACCAACAAUACAUAGAGUAUUUCUUGCUUCUCUAAGAAAUGGAUUGAGAUACUUAGAAUCAUGAACAUCUUUCUGUGGAAAAAAAAUCCUAAUACUUAAUAAAUAUAUCAUGUUAAGUGCUGCUUGUUACAGUGUGAUUGGCAUAGG
rnacentral:lncRNA from 1 species